rnacentral:lncRNA from 1 species
UUGAUGCGGCAGUCUUGCAGUGGAUUUAUGCCACGGUCUCCUCCGACAUCCUCACCUUCAUUCUCAUUGACGAUGACUUGGCUGAACAUGCUUGGCACAGUGUUGCAAAUCUCUUUCUGGAUAAUAAAAACUCAAGGGCCAUGUAUCUUAACAAGGCUUUCACCAACGUCUUGCUGAUUUUUCGACGACCAAUGCAUAUUGUAAUCG